rnacentral:tRNA from 1 species
AGGAUUAUAGUUUAAAUAAAAACAUUUGAUUUGCAUUCAAAAAAUAUUAUAACGAAUAAUUUAUCUUA